GUUUUAGGUUUAGCAUUUAUUCCCGGUGGAAAUGCUACAUAUAUAUAUGAAUAUAUGACGAAUCGAUCUUAUUCGCUUUGCAAUACCUCAUUCCAAUCAAAAUUGAUAAGUGCAUAUGAU
rnacentral:sRNA from 1 species